AAACAAAAUAAAUCAUAGCUUGAAGAAAAAAGAGCAUACCCAGAGUUACCAAGUUUUACGGUAGCGAUUUAUGGCUGUUUUAAAAACAAAAAUACUUACAAAUUGUGCUGCAACAGGCAUUUUGGCAGAGAUCACUUCCUUCGUUACCGUGUAUGCAUUACAGGCAGCAUUGCGCAACA
rnacentral:sRNA from 1 species